rnacentral:lncRNA from 1 species
AGCAUCUUCAAUGGAAUUGAAUUUAACAAUAUAGUAACCCUCCUCAUGAUAGAACAGUUCAGAAUCAGGAACAUGUGACCAGUGGAGAUUAAUAAAUCUCUUCACUCCAUUAUACCCAGGGCUAUUGCCUAACACAAAUACUACAAAAGCACAUUUCCAUUUCACUUCUUCCUCCUCCACUUCUUCCUUUACCAAUUGACCAAUUGGUUUACCAUUAACAAUCGUAGGGGGAAUAUAUUCU